CCCAGACUCCUACGGGAGGCAGCAGUGGGGAAUAUUGCACAAUGGGGGAAACCCUGAUGCAGCGACGCCGCGUGAGUGAAGAAGUAAUUCGUUAUGUAAAGCUCUAUCAGCAGGGAAGAAAAUGACGGUACCUGAGUAAGAAGCCCCGGCUAACUACGUGCCAGCAGCCGCGGUAAUACGUAGGGGGCAAGCGUUAUCCGGAUUUACUGGGUGUAAAGGGAGCGUAGACGGCAGCGCAAGUCUGGAGUGAAAGGCGGGGGCUCAACCCCCGGUCUGCUCUGGAAACUGUACGGCUGGAGUGCAGGAGAGGUAAGUGGAAUUCCUGGUGUAGCGGUGAAAUGCGUAGAUAUUAGGAGGAACACCAGUUGCGAAGGCGGCUUACUGGACUGUAGCUGACGUUGAGGCUCGAAAGCGUGGGGAGC
rnacentral:rRNA from 1 species